rnacentral:rRNA from 1 species
AACGAACGCUGGCGGCAGGCCUAAAACAUGCAAGUCGAACGCCCCGCAAGGGGAGUGGCGCACGGGUGAGUAACGCGUGGGAACGUGCCCUUCACUACGGGACAACGUCGGGAAACUGACGCUAAUACCGUAUAAUGACUCCGGUCCAAAGAUUUAUCGGUGAAGGAGCGGCCCGCGUCUGAUUAGCUAGUUGGUGAGGUAAAGGCUUACCAAGGCUACGAUCAGUAGCAGGUCUGAGAGGAUGAUCUGCCACACUGGGACUGAGACACGGCCCAGACUCCUACGGGAGGCAGCAGUUAGGAAUAUUGGACAAUGGGCGAAAGCCUGAUCCAGCCAUGCCGCGUGUGUGAUGAAGGCCCUAGGGUUGUAAAGCACUUUCGUUGGGGAUGAUAAUGACCGUACCCAAAGAAGAAGCACCGGCUAACUUCGUGCCAGCAGCCGCGGUAA